AUCGCUUCUCGGCCUUUUGGCUAAGAUCAUGUGUGUAAAAAAUCAAAAAGAACUUUUUAAAAUUUCUUAUGUAUUUAUUUACUUAUUUACUUAUUACCUAGUAGAGGUCUGGAGUACCCUGAGGAGAGGACCUCACGUCCU
rnacentral:sRNA from 1 species